GAAAACCCAAUGUCCUCAUGUGAAAUAAAAAAUAAAAAACGUAUUCUCCUUGCAAGCUUCUACUCGGCCUCUGUGCGAGUAAGUUUCCCAAGGACGUUGUAAUGGUUUUCUCAGGCGCCGACAACCCUCCAGGGUAAUGUCGUUCCUAUGCUUAGAUUAUCAGCUGCUGGGUCAGACCCAAACAUCAGACAACUGACCUAUAGAAGCAUCCAACUGGGAGCACGUGGGUGCCGCCAGCAUCAAAUUAGGCAUCGACUAAGCUGGCGAUGCCUCCAACGAAAUGUUGCUUUAGUAUAGCUUUAAGGAUUGUGAAAAUGGUCAAACAAUGGCGGGUGGCAAAGGCAUGGUAUAUGUGAAAUAUUGCAACGAGAUAGGUUAUGCCGGAUUGCGCUAAGGCGCUGCUCAAAACUCAAUCUAUGACGAGAAACGUAGGAAGAUGCUCUAUGUAAAAUUGACGCUUGUUACGGACCAGGCUUGGGUUCGUAAUGAACAACAGUCAGCCGCAGCGGAUGCGAAGGUGCGGGGUAUACUGGACACGUCACCCAGCUGGUGCAUUGCAUCACCCCCAGCAGUGCAUAUGAGGAAACUGCUCUGACCACCUGGCCUGAUGCAUAUGCUCAUUCGUUGACUACAAAAUAGCUGUCUUGUGCAGCCUUUUAGUCUGCCAGUCCAGCAGUGCACAACUGGCAGGCCGGCGACUAAGCAACUGACGAAGCAAGGAACGCGAACCCGCCCGUCCGCCACUUGUCAUGAAGCUAUAUCGGGGGCAAUCUUUGUGCGUGAGGGGAACCGCAAGAGGACAUAAGCUGUUAUAAUGCUAAGCUAUAUGCUGCACCACAGGUAUUUGAAUCCAAAUGCCCCUAUCGGCUAACUGCAGAUACUGGAAAACUAUCCAGGCGAUGUAACAGCGAUGUGCUC
rnacentral:lncRNA from 1 species